CGCACCUUGCGCUCCUUGGUAUUCCUUGGAGCAUGCCUGUUUGAGUAUCAUGAAAUUAUCAAAGCAAGUCUUUUGUUAACUCGAUCGACUCUUUUGCUUUGGAUUUGGAGGUCUGCAGAUUUUAACCUUCUGCUCCUCUUAAAUGCAUUAGCUGGAUCUCAGUAUAUGCUCGGUUCCCACUCGGCGUGAUAAGUAUCACUCGCUGAGGACACUUUUAUUUAUUUAUUUAUUUAAAGGUGGCCGGGAAAUACAGAUGAACCGCUUCUAACAGCCUAUUAAAUUAGACAGUUAAUUUUAAGAUCUGAUCUCAAAUCAGGUAGGACUACCCGCUGAACUUAA
rnacentral:rRNA from 1 species